rnacentral:rRNA from 1 species
GACGUAGGGCGCGAGCGUUGUCCGGAAUUACUGGGCGUAAAGCGCACGUAGGCGGCUUUGUAAGUAAGAGGUGAAAGCCCAGAGCUCAACUCUGGAAUUGCCUUUUAGACUGCAUCGCUUGAAUCAUGGAGAGGUCAGUGGAAUUCCGAGUGUAGAGGUGAAAUUCGUAGAUAUUCGGAAGAACACCAGUGGCGAAGGCGGCUGACUGGACAUGUAUUGACGCUGAGGUGCGAAAGCGUGGGGAGCAAACAGG